UACGUAGGGGGCAAGCGUUGUCCGGAAUCAUUGGGCGUAAAGAGCGUGUAGGCGGCCAGAAAAGUCCGCUGUGAAAACUCGAGGCUCAACUUCGAGCUGUCGGUGGAAACUUUCUGGCUAGAGUCCGGAAGAGGAGAAUGGAAUUCCUGGUGUAGCGGUGAAAUGCGCAGAUAUCAGGAAGAACACCCGUGGCGAAGGCGGUUCUCUGGGACGGUACUGACGCUGAGACGCGAAAGCGUGGGGAGCGAAAGGG
rnacentral:rRNA from 1 species